UACAGAGGUCCCAAGCGUUACUGAGAAUCACUGGGUUUAAAGGGUGCGUAGGUGGUCCGUUAAGUCAGUUGUGAAAUCCCCGGGCUCAACCCGGGAACUGCUUCUGAUACUGGCGGACUUGAGGCCAGUAGAGGUCACUGGAACUGACGGUGGAGCGGUGAAAUGCGUAGAUAUCGGGAGGAACACCAGUGGCGAAGGCGGCGACCUGGGCAGAUACUGACACUGAGGUGCGAAAGCGUGGGGAGCGAACAGG
rnacentral:rRNA from 1 species